rnacentral:rRNA from 1 species
GUAGGGGGCGAGCGUUGUCCGGGUUUAUUGGGCGUAAAGAGCUCGUAGGCGGUUCGGCAAGUCGGGUGUGAAAUUUCGAGGCUCAACCUCGAAACGCCACUCGAUACUGCUGUGACUGGAGUCCGGUAGAGGAGUGCGGAAUUCCUGGUGUAGCGGUGAAAUGCGCAGAUAUCAGGAGGAACACCAACGGCGAAGGCAGCACUCUGGGCCGGUACUGACGCUGAGGAGCGAAAGCGUGGGGAGCAAACAGG